CCUGGCCUAUCUCUCCCAAGUUUUUCUCAAACUGCCAAUACAGUUGAUUUCCAGGAACACAGGGAUAAAAUAGACACAGAUAACCCCCCAAGAAGGCAGCGAGGGGUCAUCCUCAGGCAGGAAACCGCAUCCCAGUCCUGUAGGAUGAAAAGCAGGCGGCAGACCGUGGAACUAAAGAGGGGGAAGUGAUCGCAGGAGACAGCCGGGCAGCGCAGACCCCGGACGUGCUCCAAACCUGGGUGAGGUGAGGAGUGAAGCCAGAGCAGGGGUGUCCUUUCUGAGAACUCCAUGCGCCCCUGAAAGGUGCCCAGUGCUCAGAAAACUGGCAGUUCUGUUAGAGCGGUUUCCUCAGUACAGAAAUGGAAGGAAAUGGGAGGCAGACGCCCCACAGCAGAGCUCUCCCCAUUCUCCUGCUUCCAGGGACCCCCGUCCUCACCCGCACACGGACUCUUUCCAAGUCGCCCCCUCCCCUGUCUCCUUACAGAGGAAAAGACCGCAAACCUGGGGUGGAUCGGCUCGCCGUCGUGUGCGAGGCAUCAACGUAAUGAAACACGUGUGCUUCUAGAAAAAAGCAGAUCGUUCAGGGAAGCUUAGAGAUUGAACCUUAAAAGAGAAAGGGGAACAUCACUGAAAUGAGAAGAAGAAGCGUCACGUUGAGUCCUGUUUUCAGAGAACUUUGAGCAGAUUCUGUCUCCAUCCACAAAAAGAGAUAGGAUGUUGCAGUGGAGGGUAUGUGACUUGACUCAGGAAAAUUUGGAGGCGUUCCAUGUUUUAAGAAAAACAAAAGCUGUCUAGACGACUGAGCUGGCCCAGCAAAGCCCCCCUGCCCUGCGCUGAGCCGAAUUGGAGCCAGUUUAUCAGCUCCACGUUGAAGUAAACAGUCCAAGUCUUAAACCAAAGCAAAACUUGAUAUUUGCAGACAAUGUCACCAGUGCAAAUGGUGUAGGAGGUGAAUCGAUUGCCUUCAUUGCAUGGAAGAGAGAAGUGAUUGCCAGGGGCUGGUAGCCAGGGGUUCCAGGUAAAGGGGAG